UUAAYGGGUGAUGGCGUGCCUUUUGUAGAAUGAACCGGCGAGUUACGAUCCCGUGCGAGGUUAAGCUGAAGAGGCGGAGCCGCAGCGAAAGCGAGUCUGAAUAGGGCGUUUAGUACGUGGUCGUAGACCCGAAACCAGGUGAUCUACCCAUGUCCAGGGUGAAGUUCAGGUAACACUGAAUGGAGGCCCGAACCCACGCACGUUGAAAAGUGCGGGGAUGAGGUGUGGGUAGCGGAGAAAUUCCAAUCGAACCUGGAGAUAGCUGGUUCUCCCCGAAAUAGCUUUAGGGCUAGCCUUAAGUGUAAGAGUCUUGGAGGUAGAGCACUGAUUGGACUAGGGGUCCUCAUCGGAUUACCGAAUUCAGUCAAACUCCGAAUGCCAAUGACUUAUCCUUAGGAGUCAGACUGCGAGUGAUAAGAUCCGUAGUCAAAAGGGAAACAGCCCAGACCGCCAGCUAAGGUCCCAAAGUGUGUAUUAAGUGGAAAAGGAUGUGGAGUUGCUUAGACAACUAGGAUGUUGGCUUAGAAGCAGCCACCAUUUAAAGAGUGCGUAAUAGCUCACUAGUCGAGUGACUCUGCGCCGAAAAUGUACCGGGGCUAAAUACACCACCGAAGCUGCGGAUUGAUACCAAUGGUAUCAGUGGUAGGGGAGCGUUCUAAGGACAGUGAAGUCAGACCGGAAGGACUGGUGGAGUGCUUAGAAGUGAGAAUGCCGGUAUGAGUAGCGAAAGACGGGUGAGAAUCCCGUCCACCGAAUGCCUAAGGUUUCCUGAGGAAGGCUCGUCCGCUCAGGGUUAGUCAGGACCUAAGCCGAGGCCGACAGGCGUAGGCGAUGGACAACAGGUUGAUAUUCCUGUACCACCUCUUUAUCGUUUGAGCAAUGGAGGGACGCAGAAGGAUAGAAGAAGCGUGCGAUUGGUUGUGCACGUCCAAGCAGUUAGGCUGAUAAGUAGGCAAAUCCGCUUAUCGUGAAGGCUGAGCUGUGAUGGGGAAGCUCCUUAUGGAGCGAAGUCUUUGAUUCCCCGCUGCCAAGAAAAGCUUCUAGCGAGAUAAAAGGUGCCUGUACCGCAAACCGACACAGGUAGGCGAGGAGAGAAUCCUAAGGUGUGCGAGAGAACUCUGGUUAAGGAACUCGGCAAAAUGACCCCGUAACUUCGGGAGAAGGGGUGCUUUCUUAACGGAAAGCCGCAGUGAAUAGGCCCAAGCGACUGUUUAGCAAAAACACAGCUCUCUGCGAAGCCGUAAGGCGAAGUAUAGGGGGUGACACCUGCCCGGUGCUGGAAGGUUAAGGAGAGGGGUUAGCGUAAGCGAAGCUCUGAACUGAAGCCCCAGUAAACGGCGGCCGUAACUAUAACGGUCCUAAGGUAGCGAAAUUCCUUGUCGGGUAAGUUCCGACCCGCACGAAAGGUGUAACGAUUUGGGCACUGUCUCAACCAGAGACUCGGUGAAAUUAUAGUACCUGUGAAGAUGCAGGUUACCCGCGACAGGACGGAAAGACCCCGUGGAGCUUUACUGUAGCCUGAUAUUGAAUUUUGGUACAGUUUGUACAGGAUAGGCGGGAGCCUUUGAAACCGGAGCGCUAGCUUCGGUGGAGGCGCUGGUGGGAUACCGCCCUGACUGUAUUGAAAUUCUAACCUACGGGUCUUAUCGACCCGGGAGACAGUGUCAGGUGGGCAGUUUGACUGGGGCGGUCGCCUCCUAAAGUGUAACGGAGGCGCCCAAAGGUUCCCUCAGAAUGGUUGGAAAUCAUUCGUAGAGUGCAAAGGCAUAAGGGAGCUUGACUGCGAGACCUACAAGUCGAGCAGGGACGAAAGUCGGGCUUAGUGAUCCGGUGGUUCCGCAUGGAAGGGCCAUCGCUCAACGGAUAAAAGCUACCCCGGGGAUAACAGGCUUAUCUCCCCCAAGAGUCCACAUCGACGGGGAGGUUUGGCACCUCGAUGUCGGCUCAUCGCAUCCUGGGGCUGUAGUCGGUCCCAAGGGUUGGGCUGUUCGCCCAUUAAAGCGGUACGCGAGCUGGGUUCAGAACGUCGUGAGACAGUUCGGUCCCUAUCCGUCGUGGGCGUAGGAAAUUUGAGAGGAGCUGUCCUUAGUACGAGAGGACCGGGAUGGACGCACCGCUGGUGUACCAGUUGUUCUGCCAAGGGCAUAGCUGGGUAGCUAUGUGCGGAAGGGAUAAGUGCUGAAAGCAUCUAAGCAUGAAGCCCCCCUCAAGAUGAGAUUUCCCAUAGCGUAAGCUAGU
rnacentral:rRNA from 1 species